rnacentral:rRNA from 1 species
ACCUUAGACAAUGGAUGUCUUGGCUCCUCACACGAAGAAGAACGUUGCAUAAUGUGAUAAGUGGCUGGAGUUGCAAACAUUGUGACAAGUUCAAUCUUUGAAUGCAUAUUGCGCCUAAGCUUUCUUCGGAAGGCCGGCAUAUUUGUUCCAGUAACCAU